UACGUAGGGUGCGAGCGUUGUCCGGAAUUACUGGGCGUAAAGAGCUCGUAGGUGGUUUGUCGCGUUGUUCGUGAAAACUCACAGCUCAACUGUGGGCGUGCGGGCGAUACGGGGCAGACUGGAGUACUGCAGGGGAGACUGGAAUUCCUGGUGUAGCGGUGGAAUGCGCAGAUAUCAGGAGGAACACCGGUGGCGAAGGCGGGGUCUCUGGGCUGACACUGACGCUCAUGCACGAAAGCGUGGGGA
rnacentral:rRNA from 1 species